rnacentral:rRNA from 1 species
CCUCAGUUCGGAUUGAAGGCUGAAAUUCGCCUUCAUGAUGCUGGAAUUGCUAGUAAUGGCAGGUCAGCAUACUGCCGUGAAUACGUUCCCGGGCCUUGUACACACCGCCCGUCACACCAUGAGAGUUGGGAAUACCCGAAGUCAGUGACCUAACCGAAAGGGAGGAGCUGCCGAAGGCGGGGCCGGUAACUGGGGGUGAAGUCGUAACAAGGUACC